CUAAGCCGGGGCAUUCGGGAGCAGAACGGGCUGCCAGGAGGCGCCCAGCACGUGGUCCAGGUGUCCCAGAAGGAGCGUUCGCAGCUCCCUGGAGGCGGGAACGGAGUCCCCCGGGGAGAGAGUGGUCCAGGGUUUGCCCUCAGGCGUCCACACUGUCCGCCGGCGAGGCUGGUCCUGUUCCCAGCACCCACGCUGCUAGAGCCACCGGAUCUCCCAGGAGGAGACCCAGCUGCACUCAGAAGAAUCACGCUGGCCUAGGAGAUGGACGGCGGCGUGCGGGCCAUGCGCACGCUGGCUGGGAGACCACGGCGCUGACCUGAUGGCUGGGUCUUUCCUGCUGCCUGAGCUGCUGUGGAGAACAUUUCUCAACAGCGUCCCCACUCCUGCCUGGCCAUCGAGACACUGCCCUUGUUGGGACCAAGGUCUCCCUAUGUCCGUCCUGGCUGCACCUGCGGGGCCCCUGGCUCCACCUGGUCCUGGCUGUUGCCUUGCUCACCCUCUGACGCUCACAUGUCCAUGCUGGCUGGUGGCUUCUUGAUGCUGCAAGCUUAGUGAACACACAGGAAUCCUGCUCCUAGGGCCAGCACACCCUCCGUGGCUCCUUCCUUGGCCUCACUGUAAAGCAAGCUGGCAGCAGAGUCAGGGCUCUGGGACGUCUGAGAAAUCUUGGGCACCAAGCGGCCCCCCGGCCUCCCCUUCUCUCCUGUUUCCUCCUCUCUCAGGCUAUGCUUGGCAUUUGGGAACCACGUGGCACCGUUGGCUCCUCCCUCCUGCUGCGGUCAUGCCAGGAUGCUGCUGCCUGGCCCUCAUCUGUCCGGAUCGGUGCCGCCUCCUUUUCUUCCCCGGGAGAGAAACUGGAGUCCCAGUUCUGAGGCCUUGCUCCGAGCUCGGUACCCUCCUGUGCCGACACCUGCCCCUGUUGUCCUGUUGGGACCUUAACAUUCUGCAGCCAACCUUUGGACUAAGUGUGUGCAGAGUCUCCAUGCCGCGUCUUGCCCCCGAAGACUGGCCCUGCCUCCGCAGGCCUGGCUGCCGUCUGGGUUGGUGUCCAGGGAGUGGGUGUCGAGCUCUCCCUCAGCUGCCACAGCCCAGACCUUCCUGACAUUGCUGCUUGGAGCAGAGGCCUGGGCGCGACCCCUCUGUCUUGGCAGAGGGGGUGACUCUCACUUCGUGUUUGUCAGGGAAGAGGUGAAGUGUUGAGAAUCUGGUCCUUGGAGUGGGCACAUCUUUGGGGAGCAGCAGGGCCUGCUUCAGAGUUUGUUUCCUAAAUAAAACAAUGGCUCUCCAGUGACUUCUCCUGUGCCCUCGAUUGUUUUUGAGGCUGUUGCACUUUUAAAGAGCAGUGUGUCCACACCACCGUUCCUGUGGGCCCACUGUGGGGACAGCUGCUGAACCUUCCAGGACACACCUACAUACCUCAUCCCACCUACACCUCUCACCCUCCUACACACCUCACCCUCCUACACACCUCACCCUCCUACACACCUCACCCUCCUACACACCUCACCCUCCUACACACCUCACCCUCCUACACACCAAACCCUCCUACACACCUCACCCUCCUACACACCUCACCCUCCUACACACCUCACCCACCUACACACCUCACCCUCCUACACACCUCACCCUCCUACACACCUCACCCUCCUACACACCUCACCCUCCUACACACCAAACCCUCCUACACACCUCACCCUCCUACACACCUCACCCUCCUACACACCUCACCCUCCUACACACCUCACCCUCCUACACACCUCACCCUCCUACACACCUCACCCUCCUACACACCUCACCCUCCUACACACCUCACCCUCCUACACACCUCACCCUCCUACACACCUCACCCUCCUACACACCUCACCCUCCUACACACCUCACCCUCCUACACACCUCACCCUCCUACACACCUCACCCUCCGCAGUGUGCUUAUCACCACUGCACCCACGCUUGUGGCUGCAAGGAAGUCCCUGGCUGAUGUGAGUCCUCCUCCCACACACUGGGGCCCAUGGCUUUGGUGUCUAGAAAAGAAUGACAAUAAGGUCAGUACAGGGCAGGCUGGUCAGACCACCUU
rnacentral:lncRNA from 1 species